CGCUUCCUCUUUACUCUGACUUGACAUGGGAACAAAGCCAGCCACCAGCCACACAAGCAUAUCAUUCACCCCCUGUACCUCUCCUCCUCUCUCUUCACCCCCUCUUCUGCUGAUCUUCCAUCCCAAACAUCUCUCAAGCAUAUGUGUGAGUUCAUCUCUCCUUCCCAUCCACUGCUAGCUAGGGUUUCUUGAGUCUUGGCAUCAGUUCGCCUUCUUUCUCUUUUGAUUGGCACACAAAGAAAGGACUAUGGAUAGCUUCAGGGAUCUUGGCGGCGGAGGCGGGAGCAGUGCUUCCAAGGCUUCCUUCCUGCAGCUUCCUCUGCCGGCGUCGUCGUCGGCUCAGGGUUUUCCAUCGCCAGACGGGCAUCACCACAUCUCACGGCUCGCGCUGCAGCAGUUACUUGCCGACCCGUCAGGGUCGCAGAGUAGCCACAGGAUGGCCGGAGCAGUUCUGCAAAGAGAGAUUUCGCCGGUAGAUCAUGCCGAGACCAUCAAGGCCAAGAUCAUGUCGCACCCCCAAUACUCGGCUCUCGUCGCCGCCUACUUGGACUGCCAAAAGGUCGGCGCGCCGCCGGAUGUGUCGGAUAGGCUCUCGGCCAUGGCGGCGAAGCUGGACGCGCAGCCGGGGCCAAGCUGGCGGCGGCACGAGCCGGCGCGCGCUGACCCGGAGCUCGACCAGUUCAUGGAGGCUUACUGCAACAUGCUGGUCAAGUACCAGGAGGAGCUGGCGCGGCCGAUCCAUGAAGCCGCCGAGUUCUUCAAGAGCGUGGAGCGGCAGCUCGAUUCGAUCACCGACAGUAACUACUGUGAAGGCGCUGGCUCGUCCGAGGAUGACCAGGACGCGAGCUGUCCUGAAGAGAUCGAUCCCUGCGCCGAGGACAAGGAGCUGAAGCACCAGCUCCUGAGGAAGUACGGCGGCUACCUGGGCGGCCUCCGGCAGGAGUUCUCCAAGAGGAAGAAGAAAGGGAAGCUCCCGAAGGAGGCCAGGCAGAAGCUGCUGCACUGGUGGGAGCUGCACUACAAGUGGCCCUACCCUUCCGAGACGGAGAAGCUGGCGCUGGCGGAGACGACAGGGCUGGACCAGAAGCAGAUCAACAACUGGUUCAUCAACCAGCGGAAGCGGCGCUGGAAGCCGACAUCGGAGGACAUGCCGUUCGCGAUGGUGGAGGCGGCGGGCGGGUUCCACGCCCCGCAGGGCACCGCGGCGGCGGCGGCGGUGCUGUACAUGGCGGACGGCAUGUACCGGCUGGGGUCGUGACGUGUCGAGAUCGAUCGCUCCUGCUGCAUGCGCGUCACAUGCAUGCUCGGACGCCCAGCGAAGCUGCCGGCCUGCUGCCAAUCCAUGGUACGGGGUUUACUGUGGAAUCACAUCCAUGACAUGCAGUGGCAAGGUAAAAAACCUAGCUAAUAAAGCUGCUCGAGGUACGGUGUGAUUGCUGAUGAGGAUUUAUUGAGGUGGAUGGUGUGCACUUUCAACUGUGGAUGGCGUCAUUGACUUGAUCAAGAACGAUUGUAAUCCUUCUAUCUAAUCAAUAAAGCUCUCCCUUACCGGCAAAAAAAAAA